GUACAGUGCACCUGUCCUGCAUGCCAGAAAGCUGGAGUUCCAUACCCCUGCACCCGACAGUCACUGGCUCUGGGCCUUGAGGCUCAGCAUAAAUAAACUCCCAGGCACCUGUGGUUCCCAUCUGUGCCUGUAAAAGGCUUUAGCAACCCAAGGGCAGUUGGAUGCAAAAAUACCCAAGGCCAGCAGAUGAACAUUGAGCAGGAAUAAACAGAAUACAAGGACAUCUGGGUGGAAGUCACCAGUGCCUGCACAUGGAACUAUGAAGAUCACCAUUUUUCAGAUUAAGAAACUGAGGCUCACAUUGUGAAAUAACACUCUCUGGAAAGCUGACUCAGAAAUUGGAAUGAGUUGUCUGUGGAUCCUGUAAGGAGCCUGGACAUGGUGAAGAGAAUGCCUUGACCAUCAGGAGACAGCUUAGCUUGUUGAAUCUUGAUCACUUCUUCUGACCGCUUUGGAUCUUAAAAGAACAAGUGAUGGGCCAUUGGUCACCAUAAAGAAGAACAUCAGCUCCUACAAACUCCUGCCCCCGCAGAGCUGCAGGCAUUAUCAGGCUUCAUCUAGCCUCUUCAUGGGGUGAUGGUUUGCUGGAAAGACAGACUUAAACAUGAUGCUAGCAUUUUGGAGUUCUAUGUCACAUUUUGGCACGACAUAAUUCUACAGGUCGAGGAGUUUCGCAGACAUAACUCCUUGGGAGCAGUGCCCAGGUCAAGAAAGAAAAUGUGGCCAAUGCCCCAGGAUCUUAUUUGGUCAUCCAGGCUGGACUGCAGUGGUGUGAUCAUAGCUCACUGCAGCCUCAAACUGCUGGACUCCAGUGAUCUUCCAGCCUCAGCCUCCCCCGGUAGCAAGGACUACAGGGUCCCAGAAGGAACCAACGCUGCCCACACCUUAAUUUGAGACUUCUGGCCUCUGAGAAAUGAGAAAGAGUCUCACUCUCUGUCGCCCAGCCUGGAGUGCAGUGGCAUCAUCUGAGCUCACUACAACCUCCGCCUCCCGGGUUCAAGCGAUUCUCCUGCCUCAGCCUCCUGAGUAGCUGGGACUACAGGCACGCGCCACCACGCCCAGCUAAUUUUCGUAUUUUUAAUAGACAUGGGGUUUCACCAUGUUGGCCAGGCUGCUCUUGAACUGCUAACCUCAAGUGAUCCACCAGCGUUGGCCUCUCAAAGUACUAGGAUUACAGUGCUAGGAGCCACCAUGCCCGGCCGCCUCUCUUUUCUUUUACACAUGAAGAAAAAGUGGUCAGAGAAGUUAACUUGGUCAGUGCCAAAAGCACUGGAAGUGAGUAGGACCAAGCUUUUCAUCUAGAUUUGUUUGUUAGACUCUAAAUCCAAAUUCACAACAAGAUCAGAAUAUGAGAAACCUAAGGAACAAAAUUCUAGGAAUCAUUUCUAGAAACUGUGGCUAUUGAAAAAGCACAGACCUAGGGAAUCAAAUUAUUUUCCCUGCCACCAGCACAUGGGUAGGCCUGUGACAAAUUCCAUGCUCUGGACCCCAGAUUCCUCAGUGAGAAUAGAAGGGGCUAGAGACAUCAGGGAAUUGGAUUUGGUGACUUUAAUACCCACUCAGCUCCAAAGCAUUCUUGAAUGAUGCACGAUUUAUGAAUAUAUAUAUUGAAAUUUACUGAUGGGUGAACAGCUCUCAACAUGAGAUUUUUGUUGUAUGCCUUAAAAAAGAUUAUACAUAAAUAUGCGUGUGUGUGUGUAUGUAUGUUUCGAUGUAUAUGAACCCAUGAUCUGAAAAAUGGCCACUGUGGCUUGUGGAAACCUAUUAAUCUCUGCUGUUCCACCCAACAUCCUCAGAGAAAAAAAUAAACAACUUUUUGAAAGUGCUGCCAUGGGGUCA
ensembl:lncRNA DYNLRB2-AS1 DYNLRB2 antisense RNA 1